rnacentral:rRNA from 1 species
UGCGAGUCGAUUGGGUUAGACCCAAGGCGUACUGCUCAGUAACACGUGGAUAACCUACCCUCAGGUGGGGGAUAAUCUCGGGAAACCGAGGAUAAUACCCCAUAGGUCUAGGAUGUUGGAAUGCUUCUAGGCUCAAAGUUCCGACGCCUGAGGAUGGGUCUGCGGUCUAUCAGGUAGUAGUGAGGGUAAUGGCCUCACUAGCCGACGACGGGUACGGGCCUUGAGAGAGGUAGCCCGGAGAUGGAUUCUGAGACACGAAUCCAGGCCCUACGGGGCGCAGCAGGCGCGAAAACUGCGCAAUGCGCGCAAGCGCGACGCGGGAACUCCAAGUGCCGUUGUUGCUUCGGUGAUGACGGCUGUUUAGAUCCCUAAAAAGCAUCUAGAGUAAGGGCUGGGUAAGACCGGUGCCAGCCGCCGCGGUAAUACCGGCAGCCCAAGUGGUGACCACUAUUAUUGGGUCUAAAACGUCCGUAGCCGGCCUGGUAAAUCCUUCGGUAAAUCGAACGGCUUAACCGUUCGGCCUCGUGGGAGACUGCUAGGCUUGGGACCGGGAGAGGUUAGAGGUACUCCUGGGGUAGGGGUGAAAUCCUGUAAUCCUAGGGGGACCACCAGUGGCGAAGGCGUCUAACUUGAACGGGUUCGACGGUAAGGGACGAAAGCCAGGGGCGCAAACGGGAUUAGAUACCCCGGUAGUCCUGGCCGUAAACGCUGCGGGCUUGGUGUUGGGGGUCCUACGAG